rnacentral:rRNA from 1 species
AAGGAAUAUUGGUCAAUGGAGGGAACUCUGAACCAGCCAUGCCGCGUGCAGGAUGAAAGCCCUCUGGGUUGUAAACUGCUUUUAACAGGGAAGAAAAUGCUAUACGUGAUAUAGUACUGACGGUACCUGAGGAAUAAGCACCGGCUAACUCCGUGCCAGCAGCCGCGGUAAUACGGAGGGUGCAAGCGUUAUCCGGAAUCACUGGGUUUAAAGGGUGCGUAGGCGGUUUUAUAAGUCAGUGGUAAAAGGUUGUAGCUCAACUAUAAGAGGUCCAUUGAUACUGUAAGACUUGAAUCGAGUUGAGGUUGGCGGAAUGAGACAUGUAGCGGUGAAAUGCUUAGAUAUGUCAUAGAACACCAAUUGCGAAGGCAGCUGACUAGACUUAGAUUGACGCUGAGGCACGAAAGUGUGGGUAGCGAAC